rnacentral:rRNA from 1 species
CUGUAAGCCGUUGAAGGUGUGCUGUGAGGCAUGCUGGAGGUAUCAGAAGUGCGAAUGCUGACAUAAGUAACGAUAAAGCGGGUGAAAAGCCCGCUCGCCGGAAGACCAAGGGUUCCUGUCCAACGUUAAUCGGGGCAGGGUGAGUCGACCCCUAAGGCGAGGCCGAAAGGCGUAGUCGAUGGGAAACAGGUUAAUAUUCCUGUACUUGGUGUUACUGCGAAGGGGGGACGGAGAAGGCUAUGUCAGCCGGGCGACGGUUGUCCCGGUUUAAGCAUGUAGGCGGAGGUUCCAGGUAAAUCCGGUACCUUUUAACGCUGAGGUGUGAUGACGAGGCACUACGGUGCUGAAGUGAUAAAUGCCCUGCUUCCAGGAAAAGCCUCUAAGCAUCAGGUAACACGAAAUCGUACCCCAAACCGACACAGGUGGUCAGGUAGAGAAUACCAAGGCGCUUGAGAGAACUCGGGUGAAGGAACUAGGCAAAAUGGUGCCGUAACU